rnacentral:rRNA from 1 species
AACGAACGCUGGCGGCAUGCCUAACACAUGCGAGUCGAACGAGACCUUCGGGUCUAGUGGCGCACGGGUGCGUAACGCGUGGGAACCUGCCCUUAGGUUCGGAAUAACUCCCCGAAAGGGGUGCUAAUACCGGAUAAUGUCUUCGGACCAAAGAUUUAUCGCCUUUGGAUGGGCCCGCGUUUGAUUAGCUAGUUGGUAGGGUAAAAGCCUACCAAGGCGACGAUCCAUAGCUGGUCUGAGAGGAUGAUCAGCCACACUGGGACUGAGACACGGCCCAGACUCCUACGGGAGGCAGCAGUGGGGAAUAUUGGACAAUGGGCGAAAGCCUGAUCCAGCAAUGCCGCGUGAGUGAUGAAGUCCUUAGGGUUGUAAAGCUCUUUUACCCGGGAUGAUAAUGACAGUACCGGGAGAAUAAGCUCCGGCUAACUCCGUG